UACGUAGGGGGCAAGCGUUGUCCGGAUUUAUUGGGCGUAAAGGGCGCGUAGGCGGUGCGGUAAGACUGUGGUGAAAUCUUCGGGCUCAACUCGAAGCCUGCCGCGGUGACUGCCGUGCUCGAGUGUGGGAGAGGUGAGUGGAAUUCCCGGUGUAGCGGUGAAAUGCGUAGAUAUCAGGAGGAACACCGGUGGCGAAGGCGGGUCUCUGGGCCGAUACUGACGCUGAGGAGCGAAAGCGUGGGGAGCGAACAGG
rnacentral:rRNA from 1 species